GUGAUUCUGAGAGAAAGCCGAGGCAAAGAAAGUUUGUUAAUCUUUUCCUAGUCCUGAACUCUGCAUUAAUCUGUUAAUCUUUUCCUAGUCCUGAACUCUGCGUUAGUCCCGAGGUCCCUUCCUGUCGCCUCCCCGGUGACUCACCGGAGGCUGUUAAAAAGUUUGCAGCGCUGCUUUCCUCAGCAGUGCCGGAGGCAGAGGAAUGUGCAGGUAACACAUUCCAGGUGUCCCUGAAAACAGGGCCAGCGCUAAGGCAGGGUUACAGGGAAAAUGCUGCUCACCAGGGAGAUGCUGCUCGCCAGGGAAAGGGCUCCGUGCGUCCACAACCCGGGUGCCAAGGGGCUGCUGAGCCCAUCAUCCCACCAGCAGGAAGGCAGGAAGGCUCCUUGGAUCCAACUGCAUCGGUAGGAUCAGAGCUCAUCCAUGCAGGAUGUGGAUAUUUGGGAUAUUCUCUUUGGUGACUGCACUCAUCAAACAGUGGCCAUCUGGUUGUCUCCUUGCAUGGGGAAUUAUUUCAACCACCAUUAAUGAAGCUGAAGUGUGAUUUCGAGGAGAAGAAGCGUUCCUGCUCAUUUCCUGGGGAGCUGCCGUGCCUGAAGUCAGCCGGGAUAAAUCGGGAUGUGCGGGAAGGGGCACACGGAGGUGGAACGUCGCAGUUUGCCCCGCGGUUUGUCCCGGCUCCCAGGCCAAGCUGAUGCCUUGAGAGGCCACCUCAAAACAGAGCCUGGACAGAAGUAAGGAAAUAAGAGCUGAAAUCCCAGGAGGGGUUGUGCCGGUUUGGGCUGGGGAGGGAGCCCAGAGUUGUUGAGUUUUGCUCACGGGAGCUGUUUUGGGUUCUGUGCUGAAGCCGGGGUCGUUCACAGCGAGGCGUUCUCGGUGCUGCUGAGCGGGGCCGCACAACCUCACGGCUUUUCCUGCUUCCAGCGGGACAGGAAAUGAGACUUUGGGACUGGACACAGCUGGGACAGGACACAUCCCUGGCCACGGGAAUGUUCAGCAGGCCACAUUUCCUAUCUCAGUGUCUCUUCCUCUCCCACGGGGACUCCCAAAUCUCUCCCCAUCCCGCUGCGGGGGAGCAGCCGUGUGGGGCUGCUGAGCUUCCAGCUGGGAUCCAUCCACUCCGGGAGUUUCUCAUCCGGAGCAGCGCAGGAUCAGAUCAUCCUUGGCUCUUUUUACCCCCAAACAUGUGAUGCCUGCUCCAGCCGCCUCCGGAUCAAGGCCAAAUCCCUCAGGUUGACAAACAGAGCCCCGCGGGCCUCCUUUGAACAAAGCCUCGUGAUCCCGUGCUGCCCUUUCCUUCCUGGAUCAGCGGUUUUUUUUGUCCCUGAUAACACCCAGAACGCGCCCUCCUUAAAGCCAGGCUGGAUUCUGGCGGGAGCAAUCCCAGCUCCUCAGGUGGGAAUGGCACAAAAUGGUGUUCUUUUGGGGCUAGAAGUGGAGGGAUUAAUAAGAAAUGUCAGCUUGGAAGGAGCUAAAAAUAAACCCUGAGUGUGCUGAGUCAUUCCCUGAUUUCCAUGAAUCGCUUUAGAGGCAGCUCUGGGACCUGCUGCCGUCCCUGCAGCAUCUGGGGCUGGCCAGUGGAGCAGGGCCAAGGUGGUGUCACCGAAUUCUGGGGAAUUCAGACCAUCGCUGGCUUUUUCAUUCCAAUUUCAAUUCCCUUUCC